AUUGAACGCUGGCGGCAUGCUUUACACAUGCAAGUCGAACGGUAACAGGCCUUCGGGUGCUGCCGAGUGGCGAACGGGUGCGUAAUGCAUCGGAACGUACCCAGAGGUGGGGGAUAACGCAGCGAAAGCUGUGCUAAUACCGCAUGUGAUCUGAGGAUGACAGCGGGGGACCGCGCAGCAAUGUUUGGCCUCGCGCCUUUGGAGCGGCCGAUGUCGGAUUAGCUAGUUGGUGGGGUAAAGGCCUACCAAGGCGACGAUCCGUAGCUGGUCUGAGAGGACGACCAGCCACACUGGGACUGAGACACGGCCCAGACUCCUACGGGAGGCAGCAGUGGGGAAUUUUGGACAAUGGGCGCAAGCCUGAUCCAGCAAUGCCGCGUGCGGGAAGAAGGCCUUCGGGUUGUAAACCGCUUUUGGCAGGAACGAAACGGUGUCCGCUAAUACCGGGCGCUAAUGACGGUACCUGCAGAAUAAGCACCGGCUAACUACGUG
rnacentral:rRNA from 1 species